GGAGUUGUGGCUCAGUGGUAGAGUACUUGCCUAGCAUGUGUGAGGCACUGAGUUCUGUCAGAUCCA
rnacentral:tRNA from 1 species